UACACAGGCACAACAUGUGCUGAAAUGAGACUUUACUUUAUAAUUUCUGUAUUAUCUGAAUACAUUUUAAUUGAAAAUAUAUAUGAAUAUCAAAAACAUUCAAUACAUGUUUUACUUUCAUACUUGAAAAGGGGUUAGUUAAUGUUUUAUCCUUAAAGGAACAAAAAUACACAUGAUUUACUACAGCUUGAAAUUAAAUAGAAAACCCUUUAAAAGAUAUCAUGCAAACCGUAAUAAAGGAUAAGAGGACCAUAGUUGCGCUGAGACGAUGACCUGAUAUUCAAUAUCUGACCUUUUACAAUAUUGUCAUAUCUGUUUACGUCAGGACCUGAGCAUGUGUCUAAAUAUCUACAAGUAACUUUCAUUUGCAUGUCUUUCAAAUAUAUGUGCACAUUAAUUCGUUACAGGUUAAACAAACCGAGGAAUUUCACUUAUGAGUAUGGUGUUUCAAGUACGUCAUGCAGCUGAGGUUCCCCGGUAAUAGAAAAUUGAUUUGAACAUAACAAGAGAAACGACAACAAUUCAAAGAAGUGAAAGUCAUUGAAAAUGUUAGGAGAGAAUUAACAUGCAAAAAGACACAGGUGGAAGCACACAUUGAAGUUUAAGAAGAUUUAAAGUAUGUUACUGGAUCUGUAAAUUAGACUCGGCAUAUAUUACCCAAAGAAUAAUAAGUUACAAGAGGACCAUAGGGGCAUUUAGUCGCUAUCAUACAUUUCGUAUCAUACCUUGCACUAUUGUGUCUACAUCUUGAUCUCCAGCAAGGUUCUGAAUGUGCAACGUGACAUAGGUGGAAACACAACGUGAAACUAUAGCAAGAUGUUAACUGGAUCUGCAGAUAGUUCUGAUAAGCUCGAACAAAACAGAAUCUAGGAAUGCUACGAGUAAUUAGUGAGUUUAACGUUUCCAGAACAUCAUGGAGCAUAAAUUGAAGGAUACUAUCAAGUAAGAUAUGUAAUGUUGACCUAGCAAUGUGCAGUUGUAUGUAUUGCAUGUCAUAAAACAACAGGUAUAUAACCAUACUUUUUUUAAUUGAAUCGGAGAUAAAAUUGAAGGGUGUUAAAAUGGGCGUCAUGGAAUUUCAAGAAAUGGUACAAUAGUAUCAAUUUACCUAAAAUGUCAUUGUAUGAUAAAUCUGCAUUCAAAUUGAGAUAUCAAACGUUUGAAACAAUUUUAUCUUCCUACAGACUCGAAAAAAAAAUUGUUUCAUUCUUACAGAAACAUGAAGACACCGAUUGAGCCACAGCUUGAAAGGUGGGAAAAAGUAAAUCCGUGAAAUCCAAAGAACCACAAGUAAUAGAAAAGAUAUAAUGGCCCUAACUUGCUCACCUGACAUGGCAUGGAAUUCCUUACCUUGCGCCAUGUUUUCAUAGCUGUCUAGUUUUGAUCUGCAGUUAAUAUAUAAGUAUGCAUUGGUACUAAAUACUUUAAGAUUAAAGGGAUAGAGUUUCUAAAAAUGCUGUAAGCUUCCUACUCAAUCCUAUAAUUUGAAAUAUAUAACACUGUAACAAAUGCAAGUAUGUUGAAGAAAUAUUGUUUUAUUUUUGCUAUUUAUUUAUUGCAAAGAAAUGCUAAUAAUUAUGUAACAUGUAAUAGCAGCUCCAGGGAUCACACUGUGUCGCCUGAGAUUUCACUGUUUAAAUCUGUCAUGCAGGUUGAGUUUCAUGAUGUUAAAAACUAAGAAAAUUGUAAUUUGCAUCAUUUUCAUACUAUACACAAAGCAUAAACGUAUAUAGCAGUGGCCUUGAUUGAUUUGAACAUGAUUAGAAGUAAGACAAUGAAAUAUAUUGAGAGUCAUUUAAGAUAUCCAGAAAGGCAUUCUCAGUUGGAAGCAAUAUCAGUUUAUUACGAUAAAACUUUCAUGUAUCAUUAUUUACAUUUUUUGAGAAAAUAUUUGACAAAAAAAAUCAUUUUGACUUUCUCUAUUCAUCAGAAAGCUAGUUUAUGCUUUAGUAUUACACAGAUGGCUUCACAGCUUGAAGUGUCAUUGUGCAACUGGAGCUGUAUAUAGGAUUCAUCAGAUAUCAUUUACACAACCAGAAGAAAGAGGAGGGUCAUUGUGGCUUUAGGUCGCUUACAUGACCUUACGUAUUUGUCGUUACACCAUUACUUCAUAAA